AUCGAACGCUGGCGGCAGGCCUAACACAUGCAAGUCGAACGAGUGGCGGACGGGUGAGUAAUGCUUGGGAAUCUAGCUUAUGGAGGGGGCUAACUACGGGAAACUGUAGCUAAUACCGCGUACCAUAGGUUGAGCCCAAGUGGGAUUAGGUAGUUGGUGAGGGAAAGGCUCACCAAGCCGACGAUCUCUAGCUGGUCUGAGAGGAUGAUCGGCCACACGGGGACUGAGACACGGCCCAGACUCCUACGGGAGGCAGCAGUGGGGAAUAUUGCGCAAUGGACGCAAGCCUGAUGCAGCCAUGCCGCGUGAAUGAAGAAGGCCUUCGGGUUGUAAAGUACUUUCAGCGAGGAAGCGUUACUCGCAGAGGAAGCACCGGCUAACUCCGUGCCAGCAGCCGCGGUAAUUC
rnacentral:rRNA from 1 species